rnacentral:lncRNA from 1 species
CGGGGGAUCUUGCGGCAUUCCACAGUAUGGGAUCCGCCAGGCUGGCUCCUGUUGCUCAGGGAGGCUUGUGAUGGAACUUUGGUUCUUCGUGACUGUAACUUUGCCCUCUGGUUAAGGGGUCGUGGAAAUUCUGCAGGAACGGUUGAGGAUUAAGGCGGCUGUGAGGGUGCAUGUGUUGACACUUCAAAUUCUCCUCUAGCUGUGGGUCGGGGGAGCUGACAUAGGACCGGUCAUUGUAACCCACGUAGGAGUCACUGCUCCCACAGCUCAUGCUCCCUUCACUGCUGCAGUCAGAAGCUACGGAACUUAUUCUAUAAUCUGUGUCUAAGGAGAAACGCCUUUCAGGGCUUCGUGGGCCUGAGAGACUCAGAUUUGAGUAUGCAUUCAACAUGGAAUAAUAUCCGAUGUCGACAGGUGAGUCACAUUUUGGAUACUGUUCAUAAGGCAUUGGCGUUCCAUGAUUUUUGGUUGCCAUCAUCAUUGAAGGAUAUUGUCCCUGUGGUCUUUGAUCCUGAGGUGGGAAAUGAACUCCAGAUGGAAGGCCAUUGCUUAAAGAUGUAGUGCUUUGGGGUUUUGCAGUAGAAGUAGCUGGGAUGCUAACUAAGGAAGGUACAGACCUGGUUUCCAAUUUGUUUUUGGUGGGAAGCUUUUCUUCUAGGUCUUGGUAGACUUGUGUCCUUAUGCUUGGAUCUGAUUGCCUCUUUGGAGCACCUCGUUUGACAUCAGAAGUGCUAUCAGCCUUGGUGCUACAAGGAACACUGUUGCUUUUCACCAGUCCUCCUUCGUUUGCAGUUUUGGCUGCCGUAUUUCUAGACAUGGCACGGAGUUCAUCAGCCACUGACCGCUGUGGCUGACUGCCCCUUUCGGGAUGGUAAUAUUUGCACUUGUGUCCAUAGGUACACUUCUUUCCUAAGAAGAGUAAAAUUAAUUAGGCAAAGGAGCAUACCAUCAGAUCCUGAAAACUC